GCAAAGUGGCUCUUGCGAAAUGAGGUUAAUAAAGUCAAAGAAAGAAAACUACAAAAUAAAUUAAAAAAGCUGUAGGUUAUAAGUAGGUUGUAAGCCAGGGCCCCACGAAAAGAGAUUCGCCGUUCACACAGGGUUUUCCACUUUUCUAUAUUUCAGGUUUUUUUUAUUUAUAUAUUUUACAGGUAUUUUCCCGUUUCAGGUUUUUUCUAUUUUUUAGUCUAUUUUACAGGUUUCUUUUUUAUUUUUUCUUCUCUUUCAGCUAGCACCCGAGCCUAGAUUUUUAAAGCACUACAAUUUUUUCUUAAUCAUGAUGGAUUGAGAGUAGUGUUUUAAAAAUCAGGUAAAUCGCAAUGACUUAAUCGAUGUCAAUAUCGAAGUCGUGUGAGAAAUUGUUAUAGUAUGAGAACAAUUUCGUAAUUCGUGCUUUCAAAA